rnacentral:rRNA from 1 species
AACGUAGGUGGCAAGCGUUAUCCGGAUUUACUGGGCGUAAAGGGUGUGCAGGCGGGGUAGCAAGUGGGGUAUGAAAUCUCCAGGCUUAACCUGGAGGGGUUAUGCCAGACUGCUGCUCUAGAGGACGAGAGAGGGGGGUGGAAUUCCGGGUGUAGUGGUGAAAUGCGUAGAGAUCCGGAGGAACCCCAGAGGCGAAGGCGGCCCCCUGGCUCGUACCUGACGCUCAGCCACGAAAGCAUGGGGGGCGAACGGG